CGAUGGAGGGGGAUAACUACUGGAAACGGUAGCUAAUACCGCAUAACGUCGCAAGACCAAAGAGGGGGACCUUCGGGCCUCUUGCCAUCGGAUGUGCCCAGAUGGGAUUGGCUAGUAGGUGGGGUAACGGCUCACCUAGGCGACGAUCCCUAGCUGGUCUGAGAGGAUGACCAGCCACACUGGAACUGAGACACGGUCCAG
rnacentral:rRNA from 1 species